UUAUAUCAAAAGUAAUACAGGUGAAUUUCAGGAAAUUUGUAAAAUACAGCUUCAAAGAGAGAGGUGGAGAGAGAGAGAGAGAGAGAAAUCUAUCAUCUAUCACUCACCACUAUUAACAUUUUAGUGUCAUCUUCCCAUGUUUUUGUUUAUGCAUAGAUAUGCAUAUCUAUUUUGCAAAGAUAAGAAAUUACUAUAUCUUUUAAACGUUUUUAUUUGAUAAUGUACUAUGAAUAUUUCCCAUUCAAUUAAAUACCUCUACAGUGACACUGAAUGCUUAUGAUACUGUAUUGAUAUUAAUAUUGUAGAAUACAUCAGGAAGAUAUUAUUACAAUAUGUUUAACCAAUCCCCUGGAUGCUAGAUAUUUGGGUUUCUAACAUUUCAUCUUUUUAAAUAAUUCUGUGAUGAACAUCUGUUCGCAGGGUACCCUCCAUGACCAGUUGUGUUUCAGAGAAGGCAGAUCUAGUCCAUUCAAGGCCAGGAUCCCCCGGAGGUCAGUACAUUAUUUGCCCAGUGAACUGUGGGCAUAUCUAUACUUUUUGCACUUUUCCAGGCAGGAAGGAGGAAGUAGUACUGAGAACCCACUGUCUUGGGUUAAGGAGCAUUCUCUGGGCUGCUUAGGGGAGAAGAUUUCUAUCCCAAGGUCCUGCAGCCUUGGGGUAAGAUGGGAGCAGAGAAGACAGAGUGUGGGGCCACUGUGGAGGCAGCAGGGAGGGGUUCCUUGUGGCCACUGAUCGGAGCCCUCAUAUUCCUUGUGGGGAGGCUCUAAUUUCUCCAGAGAUGCUUCUCUACUUGGAGGUCUGCCCUGUGUCGGGAGCAUUAGUGGCCCUGCAGAGAGGUGGGACGUUAUUUGGAUACUCUUGCUCGUAGGGAGUUUGUUGCCUCCCAAAAGGUGUGUGGCAUUUGUAAGUUGUUCUCCUUUUCCAUGGUUCUUCAGAAGACUUGAAUAUGGUUUGUAAUCUAGGCACCAAAAUUGAAAUUCCCUCCAAAGAGCCACACAAAUAAAUGACCUCCCAUACCAUUAAGUUCUCUCUAUGCAUGGCAAUCCCUAGUUAACCUCAGACAGGUAAGAAGAGAGAGUGUUUUUCAUCAAUGACAAGGAAAGUUUUUUCUGGCUAAUGUGGUAUAGUAGCAAAUGCAACUAAAAAGGACACCCCCAAGCAUGUCUUUAAUUCAUUUGUACACAUCCAACAACAUCACUUUUAAGUACACAUAGGUAGGAUAAAUAUUUAGUCAUUAAGUAUCUGAAGUUAUUGUAAUUCUAUUUCAGCACUAUUCUUUUCCCUACAUUAAAAAAAAAUUUCUAGACUGUGCUUCAACCUCAAAGGACAUACCUUGGACAGAAUAUUCCAUUAAAGACAUUGUUGGAGCAACUUUUAUUAUUCAUUAGUGUGUUUUAAAGUGGACCUGAACAGAAAUGCUUUUUGCUAAAGUAAAAAUACAUCCGUUUCUAUGAUCUAAUUGUGCAAUUGGUUAGAAUUUCUAUCUAUCAGUUCAAAGGGAAACUUGGUUUCAGUGAAUUUGUUUUUAAUAAAAAUGUGCUAUCUAUGAUAAAUAUAUUUCACUUUGUUCAAAUGGAUUUGAUUGGGAAAACAUAUUGAGCAGAAGUACUGGUACAGCUUAAUUUCAUUGCUUUGAGAAAACGUAUUGAAUGCUGGUUUGAAUUAAAUUCUAUUUGUUUUAAUAAAAGUGUAUUGGCCUGAGUGUAC
rnacentral:lncRNA from 10 species